GCAGCAAACAGAUAUUUGAAGCUGCUGGUGCCUCUGGAGUCCCACGGACAUCAAGGUGUAGAGUCCUCCAGAGUUUUGCAACUGUGCAUAAACCUUCUAUUCGGCCACCACUAACCAAUGCUCACAAGUAGAAACGGCUGCAUUGGGCAGAAAAAUACAUGAAGACUAGUUUUCAAACAGUCCUGUUCCCUGAUGAGUGCCGUGCAACCCUGGAUGGAGUAGUGGAUUUUUGGUGGACGGCCACCCUGUUCCAACAAGGCUGCAACAUCAGCAAGGCGGUGGUGGAGUCAUGUUUUGGGCUGGAAUCAUGGGAAGAGAGCUGGUCGGCCCCUUUAGGGUCCCCAAAAGUGUAAAGAUGACCUCUGCAAAGUAUGUGGAGUUUCUGACUGACCACUUUCUUCCCUGGUACAGAAGGAAGAACUAUGUUUUCCGUAAUAAAAUCAUCUUCAUGCAUGACAAUGCACCAUCUCAUGCUGCAAAGAAUACCUCUGCAUCAAUGGCUGCUAUGGGGAUAAAAGGAGAGAAAGUCAUGGUGUGGCCUCCAUCAUCCCCUGACCUCAAUCCUAUUGAGAACCUUUGGAGCAUCCUCAAGCAAAAGAUCUAUGAGGGUGGGAGGCAGUUUACAUCCAAACAGCAGCUCUGGGAGGCUAUUCUGACAUCUUGCAAACAAAUUCAAGCAGAAACUGUCCAAAAACUCACAAGUUCAAUGGAUGCAAG